UCCCAAGUGCCCACUGUCUAGAUCAUGCGCGGUGGGAGUGAACCUGAGCCGCAGUCGCUGUUUUCCUCGGCUCCACAAGAGGAUAUUAGAAGGGGAAGACGAACACAACCAAACGUCACGCUCAUUUCAUCACAAAUGGAACAUGAUCAGAUUUUAAACCUGGUAGGAAAACGGUCCAUUCACACUGGAGAGAAACUACGCAUGUUGUGUGUGUGGACAAGGCUUCAGCCAAUCAUCAGACCUCACAAACCACAAAUGCAGUCACACUGGGGUGAAACUGUGGAAAUGUGGAGAUUGUGGGGAGGAAUUCAUUUCCUCUUCUGAGCUGAAACCUCAUCGACAGAUUCACGCCAGUAACAGGCCAUUUACCUGCUCAAUGUGUCGGGAGGGAUUCACUCAGUCAUCUCACCUGCUGCAAUGCCAGCUCAUUCACACUGAUAAGAGACCAUUUCAAAGCUCAGACUUUGGAAAAUGCUUCAGAACAUCCCAGAACCUGAUGUCCCAUUAACUAGCUUGCAUUAAUGAGAGACCUUUUAAAUGCCAAAACUGUGGAAAAUGUUAUAAAACCUCUGGAAACUUGGCGGCCCAUCAACAUCUUCACACUGAAGAGAGACCCUUUAAAUGUCGAGACUGGAAAAUACUAUAAAACACCUGGGGACCUGAUGAUCCACCAAAGUGCUCACGUGGAGGAGAGAUAUUUUAAAUGCCUAAACUGUGGGACGUGCUUUAUAAGUCCCAGGGAUCUCAUGUCGCAUCAACUAGCUCACAUUAAUGAGAGACCUUUUAAAUGCUCAGCCUGCAGAAAAUGCUACAAAACCCCCGGACCUGAUAUCCCAUCAACAUGUUCACCCUGAAAAGGUUCUGUCACUCUGGGACUGGGUACAGGUGAUCAUUCAACCUCACAGAACACCAGCAGGUUCACACUGGGAAGAGACCAUUCAGCUGCUCCGAGUGUGGGAGGGGAUUCACUCAGUCGUCUAACCUCCUGAGACACCAGCAAAUUCACACUGUGGAGAAAUCUUUCAAAUGCCCAGACUGCAGGAAGCGCUGCAGAAGCUCCUGGGAACUGAAUUGUCAUCUACAUGUUCAAGCUGAGGAGAGACCUUAUAAAUGCUGCGAUUAUGGGUAUCCCUAUGCAAGAUCUUGGAGGUAGUUUUAUCAUCAAUGUGUUCAAAUUGAGGAGAAACCUUUGAAGUGUCCGGUCUGUGGGAAGUGCUAUCGAAGUUCUGUCGAACUGAUGUCCCAUCAACAUUUUCACAUGAUGAGGUAUCUUUUCGGAGGCUUUCAUUGUGGGACUGGGUUCAGGUGAUCAUCUCAACUCUCAGUAAACCAGCAAGUUCACACUGGGUAGAAUGUAUUUACCUGCUGCAUGUGAGGAAAAAGAAAAGAACACUUGGGUCACUCCUCAGCCCUGCUGAGACAGCACAGAGCCACCCUGGAGAACAGGCCAUUCACCUGCUCUGUGUGGGGGAAGGAAUUCACUCAUUUGACAAUCCUGCUGAGACAACAUAGAGUUCACAGAUCUCAAUGGUUUCUGAAUCAGCUGGCUGCCAAUCUAACAUUUGUUCGUGUCCACGAUUGGAAAGCUGUGCAGGAAAAUUGACGCUUCAGGAGAAAGACAAGGCAGAUAGCUGCUCAGACCUGCACCAAGGAUCAAGGAGAGCGAAACAAGGAGGAAUAGGAAAGCGAGGCUCUUGAGCUCUGGUGAAACACCUUUUCUCUUAUUCAGUCCUCAGCAAGUGAUGUGAAGGUGACUCAGAUAAACACGUCUGAGAAAGACCCAAGCAAGUAUAAUCAUCAAACUUUUUGAAUGCAAAUGAAUGGGAUGCACAGAAAGAUUCUGAGGCUGAGAGAUGAUGAUGUCGAGCAAACAGCGUAAGAUCAUGGAACCUGGAGUUGUCUAUAUAAGUGUCCACUAGGUGUCCCACAGGAUCUGUGUGUUUAGAUUAAUUGGGGAGGACAGUGAAUAUGUUGCAAUUGAUUACUGUAACACAAGAUAUAUAAAAAAUGCUGUAUUUCUUUGUAAAACCAGAGGGUGUGUCAUUGAUCCAUCCUCCAAAGCCAGUUUCCACGAAAAUCCAUAGGCUUGCUUCCUCUGUCGACUGGUCUCUGCUUGAAUAAAC